GGGUGGAAUAUUUCAAAAAAAAUAUAUCCUAUGAUAUUUCAGAUUAGAUCUAAUUUUUAUUAUCUGAUAUUAAAUCUAAAAUUAAAUCUAAAAUCAUGAGAAAUAGAGAAAUACCUCUAGGGUAACUAGAUUAUCCUAUAGAUGAUCGCAGCAAUGCCCGAGGUUCCAAAAUAGUCACGCAGUCGCCUGAUCUCUACCGAUAUCCACUCAAGCAGGAUCUGGAUCGUCUUCUUCUCAUGAAUUUUUUCUCCAAAAAUUAGAUCUAGAUCUGAUCUGGAAGAUCUUCUGAAGCUG
rnacentral:lncRNA from 1 species